rnacentral:rRNA from 1 species
GUCUACUGCCGUGCCACCCUGAACAAGCCCGAUGUCUCAUUUUGGAAGCUAAGCAGGGCCGGGCCUGGUUAGUACUUGGAUGGGAGACCUAGGAAGACCAGGUGCUGUAGGCA